CCUACGGGGGACUGCAGUCGAGAAUCAUUCACAAUGGGGGAAACCCUGAUGGUGCGACGCCGCGUGGGGGAAUGAAGGUCUUCGGAUUGUAAACCCCUGUCAUGUGGGAGCAAAUUAAAAAGAUAGUACCACACGAGGAAGAGACGGCUAACUCUGUGCCAGCAGCCGCGGUAAUACAGAGGUCUCAAGCGUUGUUCGGAAUCACUGGGCGUAAAGCGUGCGUAGGCUGUUUCGUAAGUCGUGUGUGAAAGGCGCGGGCUCAACCCGCGGACGGCACAUGAUACUGCGAGACUAGAGUAAUGGAGGGGGAACCGGAAUUCUCGGUGUAGCAGUGAAAUGCGUAGAUAUCGAGAGGAACACUCGUGGCGAAGGCGGGUUCCUGGACAUUAACUGACGCUGAGGCACGAAGGCCAGGGGAGCGAAAGGGAUUAGAUACCCUAGUAGUC
rnacentral:rRNA from 1 species